rnacentral:rRNA from 1 species
GACGAACGCUGGCGGCGUGCCUAAUACAUGCAAGUAGAACGCACAGUUUAUACCGUAGCUUGCUACACCAUAGACUGUGAGUUGCGAACGGGUGAGUAACGCGUAGGUAACCUGCCUGGUAGCGGGGGAUAACUAUUGGUAACGAUAGCUAAUACCGCAUAAUAUUAAUUAUUGCAUGAUAAUUAAUUGAAAGGUGCAAUUGCACCACUACCAGAUGGACCUGCGUUGUAUUAGCUAGUAGGGGAGGUAACGGCUCAUCUAGGGGACGAUACAUAAACGACCUGAGAGGGUGAGCGGCACACCUGGGACUGGGACACGGCCCAGACUCCUACGGGAGGGAGCAGUAGGGAAUCUUCGGCAAUGGACGAAAGUCUGACCGAGCAACGCCGCGUGAGUGAAGAAGGUUUUCGGGUCGUAAAGCUCUGUUGUAAGGGAAGAACGGGUGUGAGAGUGGAAAGUUCACACUGUGACGGUAUCUUACCAGAAAGCGACGGCUAACUACGUG